AACGAACGCUGGCGGCAUGCCUAACACAAGCAAGUCGAACGGAGGCUUCGGCCUUAGUGGCGCACGGGUGCGUAACGCGUGGGAAUCUGCCCUUAGGUUCGGAAUAACAGCUGGAAACGGCUGCUAAUACCGGAUGAUAUCGCGAGAUCAAAGAUAUAUCGCCUGAGGAUGGGCCAGCGUUGGAUUAGUCAGUUGGUGGGGUAAAGGCCUACCAAGCAGACGAUCCAUAGCUGGUCGGAGAGGAUGAUCAGCCACACUGGGACUGAGACACGGCCCAGACUCCUACGGGAGGCAGCAGUGGGGAAUAUUGGACAAUGGGCGCAAGCCUGAUCCAGCAAUGCCGCGUGAGUGAUGAAGGCCCUAGGGUUGUAAAGCUCUUUUACCCGGGAAGAUAAUGACUGUACCGGGAGAAUAAGCCCCGGCUAACUCCGUGCCAGCCGCCGCAGUAA
rnacentral:rRNA from 1 species